UACGUAGGGGGCAAGCGUUGUCCGGAUUUAUUGGGCGUAAAGGGCGCGUAGGCGGCACUGUUAGUCAGGCGUGAAAGUCCUGGGCUCAACCUGGGAACUGCACUUGAUACGGCAGAGCUAGAGGAUGGAAGAGGGUCGCGGAAUUCCCAGUGUAGAGGUGAAAUUCGUAGAUAUUGGGAAGAACACCGGUGGCGAAGGCGGCGACCUGGUCCAUUACUGACGCUGAGGCGCGACAGCGUGGGGAGCAAACAGG
rnacentral:rRNA from 1 species